UACGAAGGUGGCAAGCGUUACUCGGAAUUACUAGGCGUUAAAGGGCGAGGUAGGUGGUUUGGUUAGUCUGUUGUGAAAGCUCCUUGCUCAACGGGGAGAGGUCAACAGAUACUGCCAAGCUUGGAGUAUGAGGAGAGGGUACUGGAAUUCCCGGUGUAGCGGUGAAAUGCGCAGAGAUCGGGAGGAACGACCAAUGGCGAAAGCAGGUACCUGGACUAGUUACUGACACUCAGCUGGCGAAAGCUAGGGGAGCCAACAGGG
rnacentral:rRNA from 1 species